rnacentral:rRNA from 1 species
CCUACGGGAGGCAGCAGUGAGGAAUAUUGGUCAAUGGGCUUACGCCUGAACCAGCCAAGUCGCGUGAGGGAAGACUGCCCUAUGGGUUGUAAACCUCUUUUGUCAGGGAGCAACGCCGGCUACGUGUAGCCGGACUGAGAGUACCUGAAGAAAAAGCAUCGGCUAACUCCGUGCCAGCAGCCGCGGUAAUACGGAGGAUGCGAGCGUUAUCCGGAUUGAUUGGGUUUAAAGGGUGCGUAGGCGGAAUGCCAAGUCAGCGGUAAAAUCGCGGGGCUCAACCUCGCUCCGCCGUUGAAACUGGCGUUCUUGAGGGGGCGAGAAGUAUGCGGAAUGCGUGGUGUAGCGGUGAAAUGCAUAGAUAUCACGCAGAACUCCGAUUGCGAAGGCAGCAUACCGGCGCCCAACUGACGCUGAAGCACGAAAGCGUGGGUAUCGAACAGGAUUAGAUACCCCAGUAGUC